rnacentral:rRNA from 1 species
UCCUGGCUCAGGAUGAACGCUGGCGGCGUGCUUAACACAUGCAAGUCGAACGAAGCUUGAGUCUGAAAUUUUUCGGAAGGACAGAUGAUAUGACUGAGUGGCGGACGGGUGAGUAACGCGUGGGCAACUGCCUUAUACGAGGGGAUAACAGUUAAGAAAUGACUGACUAAAACCGCAUAAGACCGACGGGAUCGCAUGAUACAGUAGGUAAAAACGUCCGGUGGUAUAAGAGUCGGGCCCGCGUCUGAUUAGCUGGUUGGUGAGGUAACGGCUCUACCAGGCAACGAUCAGUAGCCGGCUUGAGAGAGUGGACGGCCACAGUUGGGACUGAGACACCGGCCCAGACUCCGUACGGGAGGCAGCAGGUGGGGAAUUAUUGCACAAGUGGGGGAACCCUGAUGCAGCGACGCCGCGUGAGUGAAGAAGUACUUCGGUAUGUAAAGCUCUAUCAGCAGGGAAGAAAAUGACGGUACCUGACUAAGAAGCCCCGGCUAACUACGUGCCAGCAGCCGCGGUAA